rnacentral:lncRNA from 1 species
UGAAUAUUCACACCAUUAUUAUGAUCCGACAUCCAUAAAUUUAUAUCACAUUUUUUAAAAGAUAAAUUUAAAUUAGAUGCUUAUUCAUAUUGUUUUACUUUCGUCUCCGACUUCUCCUUCCAAAAAUUAUCAACAUAUUUAUGAUCUUCGUAUAAAUAGGUCUCCUACUUCUCCUCCGGAAAUUAUCAAAAAUAUCUAUACAAAAAACCAAGCACACACUAUUAUAUUCAAUGAGUUAAAGAUUUAUAUUCAACUACACAAUGUUACAGUACCUCCAACAAAACGAUAAAAAUGAUUAUGUCGACGAGGCGCCAAAGUGCUCCUGCGAAAGCUCCACACCGCACUAUUCUUUUGCCCUCAUACUCGUAAAAAACCUUUCGCAACAGUAAAAGUAAAAUCCCCCAAACCAAAAAGCGACACCUACAAAAAAUAAUAUUAAACAAAUACAAACAAUACAAAUUACAAGUCGCAGUUACGUGUGGUGUGUUAAUAUGAGACAAUCGGAUCAGAUCUACUAGCUAUAACUACCUAGCUACUACCCUAGUAGGCUCUAUUCAUUAGCUUACGACUUAUCCACGGUGAAAAGUUCGUUUUCAUUAGAUUUGAAACCUAGGAUCCGACAGCACUAAAGUACUGCUUCUCCUCAGACUCCGCUAAUUGCAUUGUCGAUGUAAUUAACUUUGGUUAAUCACUUAAUCUACUGUUGAUUUCAUGUGAUUAACUUUCGAUGGAUGGUUAGGAGCAAUAAUAUGGAGUAACGUGUGUGAGUUAAAUUCGAAAUCUAUGAGAAAAGUCCCUGAGGUGUUACUUGCAGUAUAUGGCACGUCAGAUGAAUUAUUGUGGUAACAAUAAUGCAGGGGAAGUGUCCUGUUUAUCUGUACAUGCAACAUGUUACGCUAUUUCGGGUGUAACUAUGUCGGUAUAUAUUUAAUUAAUUAAAAAUAUUGUAGUGUAUGUAUAAUAAAUAUUUAAUGUAUGAUAUUAUUGGUAUUUAUGAUCAAAUAUUUUUUAGUAGUAACAUAUAUAUGCUCUCUCCGUUCUGUGGUUUGUUAAAAAAAAUUACAAAGAGUUCUUCACAUAUUUUAAUAUUUCUAUAAAGUAUAGGUUUAAUAAUUAUUUAACUUUUUCUUUUUUUUGAAUAAAAAUUUAAUGUUCAAAUUUGUAUUUAGAAAAAAUUUCAAAAUAGGUGAUGAAACUAUAUUCUAUGUACGUCUUAAAAUACGUGUCAAGUAAUGUAAACAUGUGUUAAUAAAAAAAUAUUAACGACCUAAUGACAAAGAGAUAUAUAUUUAAAAUUUAUAUAUAUGAUAAAUAUAUAAUUAUUCUGAUUAAUCUUACUACUCUGAGAAUUUCGAUUUCAUUUGAAAUUAUGUAUUUGAUCUAAUCUGAUUGAGAAUUUGGAUGUGGAUUUCAUUUGAUAAAAUUUUAGUAUAAAUUUGAGAAUUUAAAAUGAAAACUCAAAUCUUAUGAUUUAAAAUCCAUCAUCUUGAAUGAAAUGCAUGUUUCAAACCGGCUCUUAAAUUUAAUUGGUAAAAAAUAUUUCGUCAAAAAAAUCGGUAAAAGAUACACCAAUCAUGAUUCAUGAAGGACGCCCAACUAAUUUUAGCAUGCCGAACGCUCAUAAGAUUGAUUUACAGCUCCACAAAUAUAUGCGGACAAAUUCAAAACUACGAGUCAUAAUGAGAAUCAAAACUAAUUAUAAACUGCCUAACGAAUUAUGAAAAAAAAAAAUCAUCAUCCAUUCUUCCUAGUUAAAUUGAACAGCUUUGGCUCCUUUUUAGUUAACUAAUCAACUUUUAAUAAAAGUUAGUUGACACACUCGACUAAACAAUUCAAAAGGCCUACUAAUCAACUGCUGCAAUUAACUCCUAAUUAAAAACUCCCUAAUCAUUAUCAUCAGAUAGGUGUACAAGAAUGAUUAAGCAUGCCAUAAUGGAACAACAUUAAUACACAUUAUCAAAAUUUAGCCAAAAAAGAAUAAAAAGGAAUAAAAAGAUUAAUUAAACAAUAAAGCUAGCAAACAAACCCCAUCAUAGUUGAUUUAAGAAGUGUAAAGCAAAGGAGAACAAUGAUUGCGAAAAACGAAAUGGGAACCACCGAAUCAUCUUUUCUUUUUUACCAACAAGCAAAGGAGUGUUUAUCUUUUUGACUCGGACGUUUGUAAUUAUGUUUUUUCUCCCUCUUUUUUCACUGUCACUGUAAAUAAUUCUUUUUUAACGGUUUCAUGAUACAGUAAUAGUACCACACGUGACUUCUGAGUCAAGUGACUGCAGCCAACCGAAUUGAACACUACCAAUUAAUGGCUUAUAUUUCACACGCGUCAAUAAAUUCCACAACUUCGAAUUUAAUUUGUUAUUGUGACAUUUCUGUACACACCCAAGCCAGCUAAUUAAGUUGUAUUUCCAAGUUUUUUUAAGGAAAAAAAAUGAAUGAUCAAGUUUUUAAGCUCCCCGAUUCUUAGUUUUUUUGGUGUGUAGAUGACUUAUUACACGUAAUUUAAAUUAAACAAAAUAUAUUUUAUGUAUUACUUUUGGAUUUUGUUAUUCUGAAUAAAAAUUUAACAUUUAUAAUUAUAUAAUGAAAUUCAAAAAAAUUUAACAUGUAAAAACAUAUUUAUUUAUCUAGAUUAUCAAAUUAUGUGAAAAAACUCAAAAUGACACUAAAUAAGUAAAUAAUGGAACAAAUAGAAUAUUAUUUUGCGGAGAUAUUUUCAACGAUGAUUUAAUGAAAUAGAGAAAAUACGAUAACAACCAAAAACCCCUUGGAAAAGUAAUAAUUUUUCAAAAAGAAACUACUUUCAUGCUUUGCCCCUUAUAAUUCCCACUCAUUAUGUUUGUUGCUUAAAGAUUGCCUCCCCACCUUCUCCUCUCCUUUUCUCCUCUCUUCUGAUCCUCCAUCUCAUAUACAUGUAAUUCCUCCCUCACUCGCACAUUUCACUUCAAGCCGCGAGCUCGAAACAGGAGAGUACUAGCUAAUGGAGGGGGAGAAUAAUAUGCGGAGACCAAAUUUUGUUCCGCUACAAUUACUAGAAAAAAGAGACGACGAAGCUUGUUCCAGCUCCGGCUUUGGAUUCUCCGGAGCUGAAACUAAGCUGAGUCCUCCCGUUACAACUGAAAUAUCGAAAAAGCCACCGCCAAAGAGAGCGUCGACGAAGGAUAGGCACACGAAAGUGGAAGGCCGAGGCCGACGCAUCCGCAUGCCUGCCACGUGUGCUGCUAGGGUUUUUCAGCUCACGAAAGAAUUAGGGCACAAAUCGGAUGGGGAGACCAUUGAGUGGCUACUACAACAGGCGGAGCCGUCGGUUAUUGCGGCCACGGGGACCGGGACAAUUCCGGCUAAUUUUACUUCGUUGAAUAUUUCGCUUAGGAGCUCGGGGUCCACGAUGUCGGCGCCGUCGUUAAGGUCUAGUUAUUUGCAUUCGAGUUUAGCGAAUUCUUCGAGGAUUCGGAGUGAUUGGGAGCGGAGCAUUGAGGAAUCACAGCGUAGGAUUUUCGGUUUGGCUUCGGCUUCGGAGAAUAAUAGCUAUUCGGUAGGUCAACCGUUUAAUUUUGGUAACAGUUAUAUGAGUUUGAACUCAUUGUUGAAUGCUAAGCAAGAAUUACGUGACACGUGUUUGGAGAGCGAAGAUGGUUUAACCGGGAGAAAAAGACGAUCCGACGACGAGGAUUUGUCGUUGGAAAAUCAAAUGGGGCCGGGAAACUACAUGUUGCAGUCGAGUUCGGGUUCGAUUCCGGCUUCGAGUCAAGGUCACACUCCGUCGGCGACUUUUUAUAUGGUCACAAACCCUAGUACACAAUUGGUCAAUGGUGGAGUGGACCCCAUGUGGACAUUUCAAAAUGCAAUGAAUUCGAAUAAUAAUACUAGUAGUACUAAUAUGUAUAGAGGUGCGAAUUCUUCGGUCACAAAUAGUGGGCUACAUUUUAUGAAUCUUCAUACUCCCAUGGCUUUGCUGCCAAGUCAGCAAUUGGGUUCCGGUGGUGGUGGCGUGGCGAUGCCGGACGGACAUUUGGGCAUGCUUGCGGCGCUGAAUUCGUUUAGGCCGAUCUCGGAGUCGUCUCACGAGGCAAGCGGGUCGGAUCGGCACGACUAGUACGUUAUAAUAUCCUAAAUCAAUCUUAAUGGUUUGAAGUUUUUUUUCCCUGAUCUGGUUCCCGAAUUCGAUACCGAUAUAUGAAUAUGGUUAACAUAUACAUGUUGAAAUGCUAAGUGUCUAGUUAAUUUCUCAUUCCUAGACUCAAGUUUUGAUUGAUUAAGCUGUGUGGUGGUGCAUGUGUGAGUGUAUAUAUAUUAGUUUGAACAGCAUCCAUUUUGAUACAAUUCUGGUGACCUUUCAGCUAGGGUUUUGAUUAAUAUUUAUAUAUGAACUCGUCAGUGUUCAGUUUUCCUGAGUAGUUUAUAGUGCUAAAAUCAUUAUUGUACAAGUUGGUGAUUAUUGAUUAAUUUUUUCGUAACUCGCCAAUCUGAUUUAAUCCCCUAUUAUUCGAUGAAUUAUGCUAAUAAUCUCCGGUCGAUUCAAUUUAUGUGAUUAAUCCUAAUGCUGUGGGUUCAUCAGUUUAGCCCAAAUUCCCCUUUUUUUUUAUGCAAAAACUGGAUUGGACUGUACCUUCCUUCUGCUGCUUGCCAGGAGGCGCCAAUUCAUAUAAACAUUAUAGGAAUGCUUUUUCCGAAUUUUCAAAAAAAUCUGAAUUUUUAUGGAACUUAAAUUUAAUCAGACCGGGUUGCAUGCAUGAUUAUCGUAGACAUGUUUGGUAAUUAGAGGAUAAACGGUUAUCCGUAAAUGGAUUGUAGUGGUUGUUUUGAUCGAUGGAUUAAAUUAUAUAUUAUGAAUUAAAUUUGCUUAUAAAUAAUUUUUAAUUACUUUUUUAUAAUUUUUUGAUGAAUCACAAGAAGUAAUUAUAUCAGUAACUAUAUCUUAUGAUUAAAUUUGAUAUUUGUACAUAUUUUUUUUUCAAAAAACAUGCCCGUUCAUUUUAAUUUAACUUCUUUUUUUUCACGACACCCGCUCAUCUUUGAUAGUACUCAAAUUCUGGACCUCGGGUAAACGAAUCUGGCUCAGAACUAGUGACAUGCAUAAUUGAUAAUCAGGAUUAAUCCGUGAAGAACCAUGCACACACUAACACUAGUAUCUCUAAAUGUAUCUCUAAAUGUAUAAACAAGCAAAAGUAGACCAAUGUCUCGCACAAACACUAAAGCACAGAUAGUUUGACAAAGUAAUGAAUGCAUGUAUGCAGUUUAGCACGAUGAGAGGAGCCCACAUAUCAUCAGACUCAUGCAAGAAUUACUCAGAAUUAUUCCUCCUCUUUGAUUACUCUGGAAAUUUCAAGGCUCUGAGCCCGGUGUUAAGUACUGACACUUGGUCCGUUCGUUAAGCCAAUUAAAUAAUAUCUCGAGGUCCCAAAAAUUUAAAAGCCCCUAAAUUAAAGUUUAUAUAUUAAAAUAUCUUUGAAAAUUUAUAAAUACUAAUGAUUUUAGUGCAAUUAGUUCAAAAUUCUUUAUAUGACUUAUCUGAUUGUACAUAAUAAAAAAGAUACCAAGUAAAAUGUCCAAAAUUUAUACGAAUUUAAGAUUUAAAUGAUUAAAAAAAAUUAUCAUAGAUUUUGUUUGAGAUCCGAGAUAAUUGGGUAUCAAUAUAUCCGAUUAAUUAGAAAUAUAUAAUUGAGAUUCUUACAAGUAUCUCAUGUUUUAUAUAAAUUUUGCUUAAGAUUCAAGAAAGUUGAUCUUUUUGUUAGUUAGAUUUUGAAGGACGUCAAAAUAUGUCAUGCAUUACUUUAAUGAGUCGAGAAAAAAAUGACUUAGAAAAAUAGUGUAACAUUUUCCUCUAUUAUAAGAUUUUUGAAAAUAUUUUUUAUUUCACUUACGAUCAGACAUAAAUCUCAAUCCAAUAAAUCAAUAUAGUUAUGUGUAUGUAUAUGUGUAAUGGAUUCUAUUAAAGAAAAUCCAAUAUAAUGUCAAAACGAUUUAUCGAGUUCGAAAAAUACAACGGUAAGCGUUUCGUGAAAAGGGAAUGUGACUUAUUUAUAAAAUAAAUAUAUAAGUAGCGAAACAAAUAAAAAACUUGAAUCCGAUCCUAUGAAUGACUACGAGACUGAGUUUAUUUACCAUUGUCCCAAUUUUUUCAAAUAACUGAUUAUUUUGUUUGAUUUUUAACUCGUUUUAAAACCCGAUUGAAAACUUUAUAUAGUUAAGUGAUUUGACAACAAGUUUUUUGAAUUUAAUGACUACUCGAGUUAGACUUAAGUUGAGUGAUCAUUUUGCCAUUUAACCUUUUGAUCAUUGAAAGUGCCACUAAAUUAUAUACAUGCACAUUAAAGAAAAAAAAAUUAAUUCAUUUUCAUUCUAAUUCCUAGGCUUUUACAAUUAUCUUUAUCCUAAAAUAAACAACUCCCAAAAAUCGAUAGAAAUAUAGAGGUGUAGAAGUCAAGCAUUAAAAAUAUCCCUAUGAAACCUAACUCUUCUCUCUUCUUCUUCUCUUCAAGAAUCUGAAUGUUACACGAUAAUAUGUAAUUUUUUACCAAAAUAAUAAAAUAGAAAAAAAAAUUAAUAUUCAGAUUAUGUAAUUUUUACCGUUGCACGACAUUAUGUAAUUAUGUAAAAAAUUAAGAAAAAAAAAUUAAGGGGAGCCGCCCUCUUGCCUAUGAGGAUGCGCUCUGAAUAUUACACAUAUUAUAAUUAUACUUAAUUGUUACUAAUUAACUCAUCUUCAACUAAUAUUCUCUAAAUUAAGCUUCGAUAUCACAACUUUCAGCCAAAUUGGUUAAUCAUUUCAUAAAAGCAUAUUAAUCACAAUAUAAUAUGAAAUACUCAAUUCCGACACAUUAAUACCAAACUAAACUAAGGAGACGAGCAAUUAAAAUUCAAAUCACUGCUGAUACAUACUCUGGUUUUUUAGGUUAUUUUUUGGCACACUUUCUACGCAUUCUCAGUUCGCGCUAAUCACAUAUUCAAGCUCUAUUCAACUUUUUAAACUAAAAACAGUAUUAUCAUACAAGCAAUGUCGAAAAAAAAACAAGCGAAAUUAAGAAAAAAAUCAAACCUGAAUAGAUUACUCACUGCUGAGAGAUGAUCGAGUUGAGAAAACGAGGGUUUCGUGACUGUUGAGCUUCUUCGUCUUCGUCAUUGAGCGAUUUGAUUUUUACUUUUAAAGAUCUGCUAAUUACGGUACAUAUGUGGGUCGGGUCUAAAAUUACUCUUGGAUUUUAACUUUGGGCGGGCCAAUUUGUGCAUUUAUCAUUGUUAUUUUUAGUAUUUGCUAAAGAACAUAAAACAUGAAUAUACAAAAUAUAAUUAUUAAUAUCUAUUUAGUAUUUACUUAUGAACAUAAAACAGAAAUCCUAUCAAUUAGCAUAUAGUUAAUACUAAUACCAUCUACAUUGCAUAUUAAUUAAAAAAAGAAAGCUUUUAUAAAAAAAAGCUGUUUUUUUAAUCCAAAUUUAUGUCAUCUAUUAGGGGUGUUCGUGGUGCGGGCGGUGCGGUUUUUUCCUAAAACCACGAACCAAGCCGCGCAUAAAGUUUGAAAAAAUUCGUAAACCGCAACCGCACCUCGUAAUAUAAAAACCGCGUAAACCACACUAAAAAAUUGUGGUGCGGUUUGUACGGUUUUUGGGGUUUAUACAUUUAAAAAAUCUAUAAUUUUGAAUGACAAUAUUAAUAUAAUUUUAAACUAUAGGUAUUUAAAAAAUAAUUUUUAUAAUAUAUAUACAUAUAUAUAUAUAUAUAUAUAUAUAUAUAUAUAUAUAAAGUUAGAGUCAUGAUACUCAUCAAAAGAAAUAUAAACUAAAAUAUAAGUAUGAUAAGGAUGAUAAUGAAAAUAUUUCGAACACUAACAGAUUAUUUUACAGAAAAUAGAUAUAAAUAUAAUAUUUAAUUUGUCGUCUUAGAAUUAACCAUAAUUUAUAUUGUAAAAUUAUUAAAAAUUAAGUUGAGUAACUUGAAUAUACACACACACACAUAAAAGAUAACAUCAUAAUAAAUAAUCUCUUUAUAUAAUAUAAUUAUUUGUAAUUAUAUGUGAUAUAUUUUUAUAUAUUAGAAAAAUAGAGGUGCGGUUUGAACUGCGCUUGGAUAAUGUCAAAUCGCAACCUCCGCCGGAUCGAGCGGUUUGUUAAAAUUUCAACUCGCAAUCGCACCACGAAAAAAAAAAACCGCAUUUUACAGUGUGCUGCAUAGGAGUGCGGGCGAGUUGUUGAAAACCCCUGUUAUCUAUGCUGAUGUCGCACAGGUCCAAAUAGAAUGGAUUGUUGAUUUUUUUCGAAUCGGCCUACUGGGCAAUAUAGCCCAUUCUUGGUGUGACAAACUAACUCUGGGUCCAACAGUACUUACGUUGUUGGACCUCAUUUCGUGAAGAGAAAUCCACAUCAAAACAUCGUUCUAAUUUAUCUGUUUUUAACUUAUUUGACAUUUUAUGAUCAAAUUUAAUCGAAUUUUGCAUAAGUUACUUAUUUUAAAUUAUAUAUUUUAUAUAAAUUUUUGAAAAAAAUAUAAAAUGCAUAUUAUCUAUAUAUAUGUGUGUAUUAUAUUUUAAGUCACAAUUUUAAAAAAAAUUAUGUUCAGAAAAAUUGAAAUAUAUUCUAUAUUAUUAAAACUAAAUAUUUAAAAAUUUGGUCAAUGAUUUGUAUAACAUCACAUCAUAUAAUCAAAUAGUUAUUGAAAUUUUUUUAUAUUCAUUAUAUAUGUUAUGAAAGAUCUAAUGUUAAAGUUCCAAUCAUGUAACAACAUAUUAACAUAUUUAAACUAUAAUAUUUAUCUAAAAUAUUAAUAAAUAAGGUUCAAAUUCCUACAUAACAGAUUAAGAUUAUAUUUAUAUUUAUAUAUUGUUCAAUUCCAAAAAAAGUUACAAAAUUAAUAUUUUAUUAUAUUUUAUUUUUAUUUAACUAAAAAUUAUAAUUUAUUAUUAAUACUAGAUUUAUUAAAGUUAUUAGAAUUAUAUAUAUUAAAAUAAUAAUUAUAUAGACUGUCCCUACAUAACCUGGGUUAUAAAUUGGUAUGAAUUACCACGGUUUGAUCAAUUUGUUUAUAAAAAUUUAAGCAAGUCAAAAGUAUUUAAGCAAGUCAAAAGUUAUGGCCUAUGGGUGAAGAAAGUUUUACUCCCUCCGUCCCAUUUUAGUUGUCAUAUUUUAAAUUUUUUUUUCUGAAUAAUAAUAUAUAACCAAAAUUUUUAUUCAAAAAAUAAUAUUUUUAACUAUCCGGUCAAAGCACUUAAAAAUGUGUGCCAAAAGUCAAAGCGUCAUAUAAAAAAACCAGAGAGUAUAAGAUAUUUGAAAAUAUUUUUAUUUCAUUUACGAUCAAGAUAAAUCUCAGUCCAAUAAAAUGUGUAAUGGAUCCUAUUAGAGUAAGACCAACAAAAUGUCAAAGAUGGUGAUAUUAAUUAAUUAUAAUUCGGCACCAAAUACAAAAAAAGAAAAAAACAAUUUCAAAGGAGUUGCAAACAGGUGCCAAAUUUGCAUCCAAUGAUACAUGCAUGCAUCUUUAUCAACUUAACAUUUGAUUACCCACUGUCAGGGGCGGGAUCAGAGGGCGGUGAAGGGGGCUGGAGCCCCGGCUAGAAAAAGAAUUAGUAGAUUUUUUUUUUGUCUAAAAAUAAUAUAAAAAAAUUUUGAGUCCUGGAUAAGUUUUAAAAAUCUUUGUAUUAACUAAUAUUUUUCCUUUAAUCGAAUGUUGUUAAAUAUUUGAGUCCUGAAUAUUUUUUGAGCCCCGAUUGAUUUGAUCUGCUAAUUCCGCCACUGCGCACUGUAUAAAGUCUUUAGGAUAAAUGACUGGUAUUCUACUUCCCUGUCCUCCACAGCUUCUGUAUUUACAAAGUUGGCCAUCGGUAAUUUAAUAAUUAUGAAAUAUGUACAACUUGCACAUGUCUGAAUGAUGGAAAAACUUGCCACCUGUCCAUUAUUCACACCGAACCUGCCACCUGGCGACUUUCAUCUCUCAACAACCCAACCAUAAUACAAGGAAACGGGUAUGAUGUCACUAACCGCGAUCCAAAUCGUUCGUAUUGACACGAGAGCAAAGAACAGAAAACAUUCGGAAUCGUGACAUCGGAAAUGAUGACCAGCAAAAAUACAAUUCAUUCUUGUUCCGAACAUAAUAGAUUCAUGUUUAUGCAUAUGAUAAAUAGUUUAUUUUAUCAAUAAAUGUGUACUUUUAUUUAUUAUUCAAUAUUUUUUUCUUUAAAAAAUUAUAAAUGUAAAAAUUAUUAACUAAAAUUUUAUAUUAUAAUGAAAUUUAUAUACUCUAUCUGUCCCCCUUAUGUAGUGGACGAUAGUUUGGCAUGCAUUCUAAUGCUCCUAGAAAAUGUAGUUCUGUAAUCUUUUUUUUCUUUUGAAUAAAAAUUUGAUAUUUGAAUUUUUAUACACAAAAAAAUAAUCUCAAAAAUAAGUUACGAAACUAUGUAUUAUAAGAGUUUUAAAAUGCGUGUCGAGUGGAGAAAAAAAACUGUAAAAAAUGAGAGAGAGCAUAUGAUUAUAAAAUUCUUUUUAAAAGGAUUAAGUGAAUAAUACUUGAUUGAAACUAUGUAUAUAAUACUUGAUUGAUGACUUCAGUGAAUUUUCGAGAGAUUUGGUAUUCACACGAAAAAUAUAAUUAAUAAAUUUUUAUUCAUCAAACACAACAAAAAUAUUAUCUUUGUAUCUUGUAUGACUCCUUGAUUAUAUAUUCAUGUAUAAAUUAAUAAUUUUAAUAACGUUAUAAUAAAAUUAAUUUUAUUAAUAAUAUAAUAUCAUAUUUACUACAUACAGAUUUUUUAUCAUCAAUUUUAAGUAGUUGUAAUGAUCUAAAAUAUACUCCCAAUGUCCCUCUCAUUUUCUUACAGUUUUUUCACCCUGCUUGACACGCAUUUUAAGGAUAGUUCUAUAAUUAAUUUUUAAAAUUUUUUUAUAAAAAUAUAAAUAUCAAAUUUUUAUUUAAAAGACUCGUAAACGUUAGGUUUUAAAAGGAGUGCGAGAGAGAGAGAGACAGAGAGAGAGCGAGAGAAAAGUGCGAGAGAGAGGCAGAGGAGAGAGCGAGAGAAAGAGGCGCGAGUCGAGAAUGGUGAAAUCGCUGAUGAAAGAAUGCUUUCGCAAAGCCAAAGUCGUUGCUCGGCGGGAAAAGGACGAUAUGAAGGAGGUUAGGGUUUUACUUUCUUGUUUUCAAUAUAUAAUUCAUUUUGUAAUUGAACGUUUUUGGGCAUUAUAAUUCUUUUCCGAUGAUUUUCGGUAUACAUCGAGUACUUGUUAAUUUGUCUAUCUUUUUUAUUGUCGUGCUUAAUGUAGUAGGGUCUGAAAACUUGGUAAAACUCAGCUCAUGAAAUGAUGUUAGUAUUUAAGUAAUUAAGCUGACUUUUUUUUUUGAAACUAUGUAAUUAAGCUGACUUGAAACAUAUAUUAGAUUGAGAGUCAAUUUAAUAUGAGGGUGAUCAUUAUUACGAGAUACCAAAGAAUAUAGAUUGUAGAGAUCAGAUUCUGCAAGUAAGGUGAUAACUUCAGUUGUAUUGUAUGGUGAAAUCACUUGUUAAAAGAUUUAAACUUGCAGAUCUUAAUUUAAGAAGAAAUUCUCUGAGACUUGGGGACAGAAUCUUUAAAAGGAGGGGGAAAUAUACAAAUUCAUACCCUUAUGCUCUUACUUGUAUUAGUUUCUUGUAGUGUGCGCUACAAAAUGAAAUACCAGUUGUCUCUGAUAUUUUUAUUCAUAAGGAAAAUGUCAAGUGUGAUUCUGGUAGUCAAGAUAAGGUUAUUGAAAUAAUCUAAUUAGUUUUAAAAUUUAAUUUUUGGAUUAAAGUGUAUCGGUAAUAGAAUUGGAGAUAUAUUACAUUGGUGUGUCCAAACUCUUCCAGAGGGCAAAAAGAAAAGAGAGAGACUAGGGAAAGAAACCACAAACAUGCCGGAGAGAAGGGUGAUUCGGUGAACCUAGAGAAACAAAAGGGUCUCAUAUUUUUAUUCUUUCCUCACAUUUCAUGACCAGUCGACUACUAUGAGAUUAAGGUUAGUUCUGUUCAAGUUGAAAUCAUCUGAUUAUUCAUUUUAAGAUCCUCUUAGAUAUCUAGAAAACGGGUUCGUUUCAUGGGAAGUUGUUAGUAGAGUUGGAAGAGGCUGUUGGUAGCACAAGAGCUCUUUUUAAGCUUUAAAUUAUUUACCAUGAGAAGAUUUGGACAUUAUAAGUACAGGGCAUUGAUAGCCAACGGGGAAAUUUCAAAAAUGAGGGGAUUUACUUAAACAGUGCUAGGUUUUUGAGUUUACUGUCUUCUAUCUUUAUAUACCGGUGAAACUAUUUUCAUCAAAUUAUAGUAGUCUAUUACAGUUUCUAUUGAUUUUGUGAUGCCCAAUACAUUAUUUGAAUUAUAUAAGUUUCUUUGGAAUGAAUAGGAGUUCUUAACAUCAUACUCUUCCCAAAAUUUCUAAGAAUAUGGUCUGUUAUGUUUGUGUAUGGUUUUUCAUAGUUGGAACAAAUCAUGACCCAUGUUCCGUCGUCCUUGGUGAAACAAUUAAGUUUUUUAGUUUCCUUUGAAGAUAUUGUCAUUUGUUCUGGUAUCAACACCUAAACUUGGUUUAACCUGGAAGUUCCUUGGUGUUUGAAAUGGAUGAAUAUUGUUUAGUUUGUAAUCAAAUUGUGUGAUGAACUUGUUUAUUCCAUGGAUAGUAUUUAGUUUGUAAUCAAAUUGUGUUAGGAACUUGUUUGGUUACAUGGAGUUAUGCUGUAGCUAUAUUUUUGUAGUCACUUGUUAGUUGCUACAUCCCAUGUUUUGUCUCUUAUCCAAUUAAACUUAUUGACAGACAAUUCUCGAAUUUGUUUAAUUAUCUCUAAUAGUCAAAUAAUAUUUUUAUGGUGGUCUAAGUUACUAACUUCGAUCUUCAGAUCAAAGCUAUCAUUCCGCAUCCACAUUUUCCACCCUAUGCCGUGGAAAGUCCCAAAGCAAUUUAUCGGGUUCGAAAAUGCUUUGGUAGGGGCUUCGUGAAGAAUAUAUGUGGCUCACAGCAAGAGGUGAACUUCAAGAUUUUUAACUUGUUUUAAAAUACUUUGUGCGAUUAUCAAUAUUUUUUGGGGUUAAUUUUUCAGGCACCGCUGUGGAUUUGGUCGGCAAGGAUUGUUGGGGUGCUUACCCUCGGGGGGUUAUCAAUAUCGGCUCUUAAUUGGGUGUUCACAGGAAAGUCAAGUAUUCGAGAUUUGUUUAAUUAUGAGAAGGAGUUGCAGAGGAUUUCCAAGCUGAAGAAGAAAGUUGCUCGGGUGGAGGAGCAAAAUAAGCUCUUCGUGGAGCUGAUUGAAACAGAGGAGGCAGCAAUAACGAAAUUGAAGGUUAAAAAAGGCUGGUUUAAAUAAUUCACUGGUAAGCUUUUAAUAUGAACAAACCUUGUAUUUUGGUUCUUUUUCUGUCAUCAUUCUCACAUUUGACAUAAUUGUCUUGAAGUAAACACAAACUUAGUACUAGUGCCUGUAUGCUUAUAAAAGCAAUGUCUUUUCUACAAUUCACUUUUACACUUAUCAUUCUGUUGCAAAUGAUAAGUACUGAUUUUUUUCAGUAUUUCUUACAGGCAACAACUUCAACAUAACAUAUUAACAGAAUGUCAAGGCAAACAACAAGGAACUGAAGCUAUGGUGCAUCAUACAGCAACCAUUUAUGUUGUUUUAUCAUUUCUCUUUAAUCUCUCUUCAAAAUUAAUUGUGCUAGUCAGGAAAAAAGUACCAAGUACUAAUUCGGUUUUCGGUUCGGUCCGAUCGACCGAAUGCCUAGUCCUAAGUAUAUACCCAUGACCCGUUAAUUACUUGGAUUAUGCCACUUGAAACUGAAAACCCUCUAUAAAGAAGCUGGUACAACAUACCACUUGUUUGAAAUCAUUUGAAUCCGUAUUUUAAUGGUUGAAAUUUCUGAAUCCUAGUUUCAAAAUCGUUGUGAUUUCCUUCAAACGAACAAUCAUCCAAUCAAAAGUGAUAUCUUUUCUCUCUCGAAAAUACUAAAUGAACUCUGGAGAAUUCAACAUGAAAAGCAAUUCAGUCAUAAAAUAAAAUCAUGUCCAAUUGUUUCCAACCUGUAAUUAAAUUGUCAUAACAAUGGUUAUCCGCAAGAAUAACCCAACUUCGCUUUACAAUACCGAUUAAUUUCAUUCCAAACUAGAAUUUGUUUAGAAACAAUUGUAGGAUCUCACUCUAUCGAUUCAAGUUCAAUUCAGACCCAGUAACAAUAAGAAUUCACAAUUCUGUAAAAUAAAUUAUUAAUUCACAGAAAUAGAAAACCAAAUUCACAAAAGCUCUAAUUGGAGAUAACUGUGCCUCCACUUUCCAAAGAGAAUUGCAGACUAAUCUAAUUUGAGACAUUACUUCACAUCACAUAGAUCAAUUAUAGAUCUAUAUUAUAUGCAUAUUAACUUUUCAAGAGUAACUCCAUUGACAAGACAUGACAGGCUCGAAAAUUCAUACAAGAUCUAAUAAUACAAAAAAAAAUUAACCUAUAGGUAUAGAUCAGAUUCAUAGAUUACCUGGAGAUUUUUUAAUUUAGAUAUUGCUUGUUCAUCCGCCUCCUCUUUUCAUUUUUCUCUCUCUUCCCCUGCGGCGGUGCUCUUUCCUCAUAUUACUAGCCCCUAUUCUUAGGUCAGGCUCAUUUGUUAACCCCAUAGUUUGAGCGAGAUAUAUGUUGAGUUUUUUAAGCAUC